rnacentral:rRNA from 1 species
UGUGUAGGUGGUUUGAUAAGUUGGAUGUGAAAGCUCCCGGCUUAACUGGGAGAGGUCGUUCAAAACUAUCAGACUCGAGAGUGGUAGAGGGAGGUGGAAUUCCGCGUGUAGUGGUGAAAUGCGUAGAUAUGCGGAGGAACACCAGUGGCGAAAGCGGCCUCCUGGACCAUUUCUGACACUCAGACACGAAAGCUAAGGUAGCAAACG